AACUAAAAGAUUUUUAUAAGAAAUGGCCACAAUCCAAACAAAAGUGCAGAAUACUGACUCAGAAAUACCAGAAAUGGCCACAACCCAGUCAAGUAUUCAUGGUUCAUAAUCCAAUACAACAAAAACACAACUUAACUCAAAAGUUUGCAAUUAAUACUGACAUACCCAAACUACCCAAAAAAAAUUUCUAUCUCCAUCAUCUUACCUCCGGCAAAACAAUUACCCGACUAAUCGAAAAGAUUAGGAUAAUAAAUCUUCAACAUCACCCUUAAUAUUUCUUGAAGCUCUUUUUUUCAUAAACUUCUUCUGCAUAUUCCUCCGGAUAUUUGUUUAAGUCGACAUCCAACACAACUUUCUUCUCCGAGUUCUUGAAAUCUUCAGUUCGCUCCAUUGCUUUGUUGGUUAAAUCGAUCCAGCUAUCUGCAUUAUUCAUGUCGAAAUCCAAAGCAGCUUUCUUCUUAGAGAUUUCUUCAGUUUGCUCCAUAUUCUUCACAAACCUUCUUUUCACAACAAUUCAUACCUCAACUUGCAAGAAUAUGUUGCC
rnacentral:lncRNA from 1 species